CUGAAGUGAAGAAAAUGAUUCAAAUAGGAAGCAGUGAGUCAUUAUUUCCUCUAAAUUGAUCAUAACAUUUUUCCAAAAGGUGGAAAGUUGUCCUCAUUAAUUUAAGUCUAAACUUCGAUCUUGACUUCGCAACAGCCAUAGUAAGUCAAGGUAUCAACCUGAGAAAUACCCGAGAAAACUCCGCCUACUCGCUGCUCUGUUAGCCGCGCUGGCGUUUAAAUGGAGCGGAGUCAGAGGGCGCUGUUGUGAAGUAAAAUGACGUAACACCGGAAACGGAAAACAGCGGGCUCGUUUGAAAGGAGGAAUCCGUCGCCGUGGUUACUGCAAGGGGCGUUUGGCAAAGUUUAAUUCGCCUUUUAAGAGAGAGAAGAGAUGAAGAGCUGUUAGACGUUAAACAAGCGGUCAUUUUAGUCAAGUUUUAACGCUCUGUUGCGAUGACGUCACACCUUUAAAGCGUAAAUAUGACCGUUAAACGUUAGAAGGCUAUCGUUAGCACAGUUAGCCAACAUAGCGUCGUAAUGAUACCAACGUGAACCCAGGGUUGUUGGUUUAGGUUCUGCUUCUGGUUAGUUUUAUUGUCCUUCGGUGUUGGUCCAAAAUGUGCUCACACGAGAACAGUCGCGUUCUGGUUCUGGAAGAGGAGGUAAAGAGUUUAUCAGAGGAGUUAAUGCAGUGUCAGGCAGACAAGGAAUUUGUGUGGUCUCUGUGGAAACGGCUGCAAGUGGCAAAUCCAGACUUGACCCAGGCCGUCAGUUUGGUGGUGGAGCGUGAGAAGCACAAAACUGAGCUGAAGGACAGAAAAGUGUUGGAGAUCCUCCAGUCCAAAGACCACAAGAUCCAGGAGCUAGAACAGAAAGUGACCGACCAGCAGAUGGAGAUUAAUAGGCUGCUGCAGAAGAAGACAACAGUGGAAGAGGACAGUGCUUUAAUGAAGGAGUUGACAACUCUGCGUGAACAGCUGGAGAACAAGAAUCAGCAACUUGAGGAAAUGAAGACAAAACAUAGAAAAAAGGAAGAGGAGGAGCAGCAGGUGGUGCAUGCUCUAGAGGAGGAGAAAGAGGGAUUAACUUCCCGUUGUGCUGCCCUGAGUGCUGACCUCCAGGAGAAACAGAGGCAGGCCGACAGUCAGCGAGGCGAGUGGGAUGCCGCCCAGGCCAGAUUAAAGGAUCUGGAGAAAGAUCUCCAAAAUGCUUGUCAGGAGCUGUCUAAACUGCAGGCACACCGUGCCGGUCUAGCUGCACAGCUUUCUUCCAAGGAGAGGGAGUUAGCUGCAAAUCGAGAGCAACUUGAUCAAACACGGCGUGAUUUUGCUGAAGUUCAGACUCUGUACAGACAAAACACGGAGCAUUCAGCAGAGCAGAGCCACCUGAUCAGGCAGCUGGAGGGACUCAACCUGGACACUCAGAGAGUCAUGAGGAACCAGGAGGAGGCUCACACUGCCGACACCACUUCGUAUCAAAGGCUAUACAAGGAGCUGAGUCAAUGCUACCAGGCUCUCGUGUCUAGCGAAUCUAAACUCCGUCAGAGUCACCAGCAGCUCAGUGCCAGGAUGGUCCAGAAAGACGAGCAGAUCUCUGAACUCCAAGCUCAGCUGCAGAAACAACAGGAACAAAUCCAGCUUUUGCAGCAUCACGCUCCGCAGGCACCUCCCUCAGCAAACAGGCAAACAAACUUUAAGGCUGGAGCUUUACAGCAAAAUACUGCAGCUCAGUUUGGUUGGACCUCAACUAAGGGGUCAAAUCCAAGGCCAGAGGACAGAAAUUUCCAUCAGCGAUCCACCAGUAGUGUCAGAAGACUGCAGGGUACACCUGUGCAGCGGUCCAGGUCUCUCUCCCCAGCCAGCAGUGUGGGGCUGAGUAGUGGGAGGAGGAUCGAAGCAGAACAAAGAAUUCAAGACCUGGAGGAGCUGCUGCAACUCAAGACAGAAGAGAAUGAGGAGCUGAGGAAGGUUCACGAUAAACGCCGUGAACGUUUAUGUUUGAUCCAAACCAACUUCAAGACCAUCCGAGAUCAGAUGAAAGAGAUGGAGAAAUCACAUGGCUUGUCAGGUGGAAGAAGACAGCGCCCAGAGCCGUGGCAGCUACGACAGGAGAACAGCGAUGCUGUGUGGAACGAGCUGGCCUACUUGAAAAACCUCAAUAGAAAGCUCAUCACUGAAAAAGUCGGCCUAGAAGAGGAACUGGACAUGCUUCGAGUCCAGUCUGCUAUGGACCGAACCACAGUGAAGGAGCUCCACAUGUGUCUAGCAAACGAUCAUCAAGAACUGCUUCACAAAAUGGCAGAGGAGCAGCAGGUCAAAAGCAGCACUCCGAACAAACCUUCUCUUUCUUCAAGCCGACUGAAACAGUCUUUUAAAAAGAUGAAACGACUGGAGCAGAGGAUGAUGUCAUUGGAGGAGCAGACAAAAACACUGAGAGAAGAGAAAGAGCAGUUACUUCAGGCCAAUGAAGACCUGGCCCACAACUGCCGAAGACUCCAAGCCUUAAUCGAUUAUCGGAGAAAGCAGGAAGCUGACCGAGAAGAGGAGGCCCAAACCCGGGCCCUGGCCCAGGUUGAGCAACACUCUGGUGAAAUCAUGGCUCUAGAAGGCAGGCUGGCCACAUCUCAGAAAGAGAGCACCAGACUUAAUCAUCGGUUGCUCAAACUGAGGCAGGAACUGGGUAUCGUGAGAGCAGCCAGGGACUUCUACAGGAACCGAGCAGCAGGAUUGGCACGAGCAGCUGGGAUUGUGAACAACAUUAACGGCAAGGUCAAACUCAAGACAGGCUGGCACAGAGGUCUUCUACGCCAGCGCAUCCACCGAACAGUCAGCUCCAAUCAAGCCAUCAGCUGGCAAGGCCGCAGCCCCAGUCCCACUAAGGACGAGUGGGAGGACAUGAGUGCAGAUAGUGACAGUGGUGAGGAGUACUCGGAUAGUCUGAACAGGGGGUCCUCUGGGACGGACCUUCACAGACAGAAAACUAAUAGAAAGUCCGACAGACGUUCACUGAUCUUCAGCACAGAAGCACCAGCAGCUGAAUUCAACAGAAAACAAGAUGAUAAACAGCAUGAGCCCUGGGAGCGAGGGACAGGUGGGGAGAAACGGAGGUGGAGGAAGAAGAGGAUGUUGAUGAAGAAGACCCGGCGCUGCUCCUCCUCUUCUCUGCAGCAGCGCGUUGAGUCUCUCCAGUGCCACAUAGACAUCCUGCGAAAUGCCAGGAAAGAUGCUCUCCUUGUAGCCAGAGAGCUGCGAGGGGCCAAUGAAGCGAUCAAGGCGCAGCUCAGCGCUCUCACUGAGCAACUCCACAGCAGCAAGCAGCUCACUCAGAAGCUGAACUCUGACCUGGCUGGUGUGGAGCAACAGAAAAAGGUUUUGGAGAUGGAGCUUGAGCAGUGGAAGCGGAUUACGUUCCCCCCAAAAAUGGCACCUCCACCAGCAACACCACCAGUAAACACUGAGUGUUCCUGUCAGGGCAGAACCCCACCUGCCCUGCAGUCCCUGGAGGCGGAGGUCAAACAACUUCAAGUCAGACUUAAGAGUGCGAGUGCCGAAGUCACAAAGCAGAUGGCCGCUAACAAAGCCCUGCGAGGACAGCUCCGAGAGAAGGAGGACAAGCUCUGCCAGCUGCAGGACAAGACGAGCCACACCGAGCGAGACGUUGCCAUGAAGAGGCAGUUGGUGGAGGACCUGAGGACUAGGUUGAAGUUCCUGCAGGAAAUGGAGAAAAGUUACCGGGCUCAGGUGGAAGAGCUCGAGAAGAAGGUAAAAACGCUGUCGGAGGAGGCCUCCAACAGGAAGGCACUGAUUGAUUCCCUGAAGAGGAGGUUAAAUGUUGCAACAACAGAGAAAAGCCAGUAUGAGGCAUCCUGUGCAAAAUUGAAAGAGGACGUAGAGAAAAAGGAGCAGCGGAUCCAUGCCCUCCAGGCCCGUGUUGGAGUCAGUGAGCAGGCCUUGGCUGCCCUGGAACAGACUGCCACUGAGCAAAUGGAGCGGCUGACCCAGCAGAGCUCCCAGACUCUGGACAGGGUUCAGAGACAACUGGGCCAGGCGUGCUCCCAGCUGGAGCAGCUUCACUGUUUCAUCAAGACCCUGGCCAGUGAAAUACUUUUAGACGUUCAAGAGGUCAAACAGCAGUUGAUGAGCAGAAGGAGGCAGAGGCAGGCCGGUUCUGUGGCAGCGAAGAACAGCCUUUCAGCCAAGUCUAUGAUCAAAGCCAAGUCCAUCGCUGCCUCCAUCCUCAAUAUGUCAGAGAAUGAUCUGGCAGAUAUAAUGGAAAUGGAUCAGAGGACAGCCACCUGCACAGAGACUCUGAGGGACCAGGAGUGGUUGGAUCGCUUGAACUUCAUCCUCCAGCAGAAGAUCCUCUCUGCUGGCCAGCUAAUGGAGGCUGUGCGCGUGAAGAUGAAGGAGAGGAAAGUGCUGACAGAAGAGCUGGCCGCGCUCGCAGCACCAGUCAGCGAAAAAGCCUGACUCCCUGGGCUGAGGCUAGGAAAACUGUCAUCCCCUUCUCUUUUCCCCUCCCUUCCUUCUUAUUUUCCUGCCCGGUUCCUGCUCAUUGGGAGCCAAAUGGAGCCACGGUGGCAGAACCAAUAUUUGUGAGAAAAACGCUGUCUACUCUCUCUGGGCCACUGGCUCCAACUUGCACCCCGACUUCUGUAAAUGAGCCCUCGACAUCUGUGUUAGCAUUCAACCCGCUUCGGCUGUCAGACUAAUUUACGAUGCAGGCCAGAAUUCAGGGGCGAAACAUGGGGAGAGCCUCCGGUCUUCUAUACGCUUCCCAAAGUUGGGGAUUACAGAGAGAGAUCUUUGACUGAGCCUCUUUGCACAAUCUCUGUAGGUCAUCCGGUCGUUGGAGCUGUUUUGUGCUCUCCUCAAUUCACCGUUUACAGCGUUUAGUUCUGGGGACGGAGGUGGCCGUGGAAGAAGGUUGAUUUGUGCCUUAUGAACCAUUUCUGUGCUGAUCUGCUCUCAUGUUUUGGAUCAUUACCCUACUAAAGGACCGAGUGACGACCCAUUUUCUGGCAGAGGCCAUCAAAUUUUUAUUAUUUUUAGAUUUUAAAGAGUUCUGAAUACCACUCACUUUAACAUUCCCAGUUUCAACGGGCCCACAGCAUCACAGAUCCUCCACCCUACUUAACAAGGGACAUGAGGUGCCUUUCCACACUCACACCAGUCCCACCUCUGUCUCAGUCUCAUCUGACCAAAGCUCACUUUUCCAGUUUAAGUCCCAGUUGAGAUGUGGCUAAUAGCACGUUUAGAUCUGUAUGUUUGGAAUGGUACGACACACCUGCCAAACACCAAGUUUUAUGUUCUGAUGUCAAUUUUAUUUAUAUAGCACAUUUAACCAAAUGUGCUAUAUAAAUAUAGGUAAAUACAAACAUGGGUUCAUAAAACCAACAAAUACAAUGAAAAUAGGAUAAAAAGAAAACUUAAAUAUUAACUUUGUGACCCCAAGAUACCCCUCUCUCUUGUGGUUCUCCAACAGGGGGCUUUGAAAAUGUUUUUACCUCCCUUACCAUCUUCCUCUCUGUGUGUAGUGGCCAGUGAAUAAAUGUACGAAGAUUAAACGUUGGAUUCUUCAAAUUCUUACAAUUAGAAAUUAUUUCACAUCUGUAAAGGCACAAAACAAUAUAAUUGUAUCAGUUAUCAAAUUCAUUGCAGGGAUGUAGUUUUGAAGGAUAUUUAUCUUCUUUUUGGAUUUUUUUACUCUGUAAUUAUGCAGAAAAUCUGUAAUUAUUUUGCAUACAAAACAUUUGUAAUAAUUUGUUAAUAAAAAUCUUUGACCAUA